rnacentral:lncRNA from 1 species
GUUAAGGGAAAAACCCACAUAAUUACUUUUUGAAAUAAACAUUUUAAUUCUGUGCAGCUUGCAUUUGAAUUAUCUAUUUGAUUAAAAAAAAAUUUUCUCCCAGGAUAUAAUAUGUUUCACCUCUACUCAUCUUAAUCCUGUGCUGUGUGUUAGUGAUCACUUUGCUUUAUGGCAUUUAAGGUUGGUGCAUUUAUACAUCAUAUCAUAUAAAACUGUAUAUAACAUUGAGGAAUUUCUGAAUUCUUGCAUCCAACUUGAAUCCAACUCAAUUGGACACUGACAUGAAGUUGGUUGUGCAAUGUCUUUUCAUUUUAGACUUAAAUAUUAUGAAUAUGUCUGAAAGAGAUAAAAACUAAACAUUUAAUUGCUGACUUUUUACAUAUUUCAAGCUGUUAUUCUCUAGGCAAUACUAAUUGUCGUAUUUUUUUCUACAGACUUGUUUACCAACAGUGAGCAAAUGCUUCCAGUAAAUGGUGAUGAAACUCUUGCAGGGACUUUGGAGUGGCCUAAAAGGCAUGCUUCACUACAGAUUCUACUCCCCUGCUGCUCCUCCUGUUAAUGGAUCUCCGUUACAUACAUCUGCAAAACACAUGACAAGAGAAGGACCCACGUAUGGCCAAACUGGGUCUCUCUGGCGACAAAAACAAGCAUGCUACAAACGUGGCCCUUCGCUGACUGAUUUAAGAAUGUGAGGAAUCACUCCUGCACGAAGGAGGGCUCUGUUGGACGCUGCUCUACACCACAUUCAGGAGUGAUGCCUUCACCACUGGGAUUUUUGGGUUUGUUGUAUGAUGAAAGGGCCAGGUUUCAGGAUGUGUUCUGCAUGUGAUGCACGUACACUCCCGUUGAUUGAGUUUUUCUCAUUUGCCGU